CCCUUAGAUGUUCUGGGCCGCACGCGCGCUACACUGAUGCAUUCAACGAGUCCAACCUUGACCGAGAGGUCCGGGUAAUCUUUGAAACUGCAUCGUGAUGGGGCUAGAUUAUUGCAAUUAUUAAUCUUCAACGAGGAAUGCCUAGUAAGCGUGAUUCAUCAAAUCGCGUUGAUUACGUCCCUGUCCUUUGUACACACCGCCCGUCGCUCCUACCGAUUGAGUGUGUUGGUGAGGAGUUUGGAUUGGCCUCGGAAGGUGGUUCGCCACCGUCCGUAGCUGAGAAGUUCUCCAAACCGCCCCACUUAGAGGAAGGAGAAGUCGUAACA
rnacentral:rRNA from 1 species